rnacentral:rRNA from 1 species
AAACGUAGGGGGCGAGCGUUGUCCGGAAUUACUGGGCGUAAAGGGCGUGUAGGCGGCUAGGUAAGUCAGGUGUGAAAACUUUGGGCUCAACCGGGAGAUUGCACCUGAAACUGCGUAGCUUGAGGGUAGGAGAGGGAAGUGGAAUUCCUAGUGUAGCGGUGAAAUGCGUAGAUAUUAGGAGGAACACCAGUGGCGAAGGCGACUUUCUGGCCUAACCCUGACGCUGAGGCGCGAAAGCGUGGGGAGCAAACAGGAUUAGAUACCCUGGUAGUCCACGCCGUAAACGAUGGGUACUAGGUGUAGGAGGUAUCGACCCCUUCUGUGCCGCAGCAAACGCAUUAAGUACCCCGCCUGGGGAGUACGGCCGCAAGGCUGAA